rnacentral:rRNA from 1 species
UGGGGAAUAUUGCACAAUGGGCGCAAGCCUGAUGCAGCCAUGCCGCGUGUGUGAAGAAGGCCUUCGGGUUGUAAAGCACUUUCAGCGAGGAGGAAGGUGGUGAGCUUAAUACGCUCAUCAAUUGACGUUACUCGCAGAAGAAGCACCGGCUAACUCCGUGCCAGCAGCCGCGGUAAUACGGAGGGUGCAAGCGUUAAUCGGAAUUACUGGGCGUAAAGCGCACGCAGGCGGUUUGUUAAGUCAGAUGUGAAAUCCCCGGGCUCAACCUGGGAACUGCAUUUGAAACUGGCAAGCUAGAGUCUCGUAGAGGGGGGUAGAAUUCCAGGUGUAGCGGUGAAAUGCGUAGAGAUCUGGAGGAAUACCGGUGGCGAAGGCGGCCCCCCUGGACGAAGACUGACGCUCAGGUGCGAAAGCGUGGGGCAGCAAACAGGAUUAGAUACCCUGGU